rnacentral:rRNA from 1 species
UUAGGAACUUCGGCAAUGGGACGAAAGUCUGACGGGAGCAACGCCCGCGUGAGUGAUGAAGGCUUUCGGGUCGUAAAACUCUGUUGUUAGGGAAAAACAAGUGCUAGUUGAAUAAGCUGGCACCUUGACGGUACCUAACCAAAAAGCCACGGCUAACUACGUGCCAGCAGCCGCGGUAAUACGUAGGUGGCAAGCGUUAUCCGGAAUUAUUGGGCGUAAAGCGCGCGCAGGUGGUUUCUUAAGUCUGAUGUGAAAGCCCACGGCUCAACCGUGGAGGGUCAUUGGAAACUGGGAGACUUGAGUGCAGAAGAGGAAAGUGAAAUUCCAUGUGUAGCGGUGAAAUGCGUAGAGAUAUGGAGGAACACCAGUGGCGAAGGCGACUUUCUGGUCUGUAACUGACACUGAGGCGCGAAAGCGUGGGGAGCAAACAGAAUUAGAUACCCUGGUAACUCCACGCAG